CCCCGAAUUUUGAGGCCUAGUGAGUUGGUGCCCUGUGUGUCUCAGGAUUUGGGAUUCAGGUGCCUCC
rnacentral:miRNA from 1 species